rnacentral:piRNA from 1 species
UGCCACACCGCCACAGGCUGCCAUACC